CCCCUCUCAGGAUCACACCUGAAGAGUUUCCAGUUCUCUACCAGUCUCGGCUACGGGAGGGAGAGUCAAGCAGAGGCAUACCAAUUCCAUUUCUAGCUUUUCCAGUGGCUAGUGAGUGGAAGACAAUCUUCUACAAGU